GGGGAUUUAGCCCAGUGGUAGAGCGCUUGCCUAGCAAGCACAAGGCCCUGGGUUCGGUCCCCAGCUCCA
rnacentral:tRNA from 1 species